rnacentral:rRNA from 1 species
UAAUACAUCGGAACGUGUCUUCUAGUGGGGGAUAACUGCCCGAAAGGGCAGCUAAUACCGCAUGAGACCUGAGGGUGAAAGCGGGGGAUCGCAAGACCUCGCGCUGGAAGAGCGGCCGAUGUCCGAUUAGCUAGUUGGUGAGGUAAAGGCUCACCAAGGCGACGAUCAGUAGCUGGUCUGAGAGGACGACCAGCCACACUGGGACUGAGACACGGCCCAG